UACGUAGGUGACAAGCGUUGUCCGGAUUUACUGGGCGUAAAGAGCGCGCAGGCGGCUGGUCAAGUCCGAUGUGAAAGCUCCCGGCUUAACUGGGAAAUUGCAUCGGAAACUGAUCGGCUGGAAGGUGGGAGAGGGUAGCGGGAAUUCCCGGUGUAGUGGUGAAAUACGUAGAUAUCUGGAGGAAUACCGGUGGCGAAGGCGGUUAUCUGGCCCAACAUUGACACUGAGACCCGAAAGCGUGGGGAUCAAACAGG
rnacentral:rRNA from 1 species